rnacentral:rRNA from 2 species
GAACGCUGGCGGCGUGCCUAAUACAUGCAAGUCGAGCGGACCGACGGGAGCUUGCUCCCUUAGGUCAGCGGCGGACGGGUGAGUAACACGUGGGUAACCUGCCUGUAAGACUGGGAUAACUCCGGGAAACCGGGGCUAAUACCGGAUGCUUGAUUGAACCGCAUGGUUCAAUCAUAAAAGGUGGCUUUUAGCUACCACUUACAGAUGGACCCGCGGCGCAUUAGCUAGUUGGUGAGGUAACGGCUCACCAAGGCGACGAUGCGUAGCCGACCUGAGAGGGUGAUCGGCCACACUGGGACUGAGACACGGCCCAGACUCCUACGGGAGGCAGCAGUAGGGAAUCUUCCGCAAUGGACGAAAGUCUGACGGAGCAACGCCGCGUGAGUGAUGAAGGUUUUCGGAUCGUAAAACUCUGUUGUUAGGGAAGAACAAGUACCGUUCGAAUAGGGCGGUACCUUGACGGUACCUAACCAGAAAGCCACGGCUAACUACGUGCCAGCAGCCGCGGUAAUACGUAGGUGGCAAGCGUUGUCCGGAAUUAUUGGGCGUAAAGCGCGCGCAGGCGGUUUCUUAAGUCUGAUGUGAAAGCCCCCGGCUCAACCGGGGAGGGUCAUUGGAAACUGGGGAACUUGAGUGCAGAAGAGGAGAGUGGAAUUCCACGUGUAGCGGUGAAAUGCGUAGAGAUGUGGAGGAACACCAGUGGCGAAGGCGACUCUCUGGUCUGUAACUGACGCUGAGGCGCGAAAGCGUGGGGAGCGAACAGGAUUAGAUACCCUGGUAGUCCACGCCGUAAACGAUGAGUGCUAAGUGUUAGAGGGUUUCCGCCCUUUAGUGCUGCAGCAAACGCAUUAAGCA